AGGUCAAAUAUAAACUUUAUCCUGUUUCAAGAAGCCUACCUUCAGUCAAGUUCAAGCAGCAGUCGGAUUCUGUUGAGUGGAGUUUGAACCGGUAGUUUCUAGUAUUUUAAAAUUUCAGUGUAAUUUGCAAUGUGUUUUUUUACAAAAUAACAUAUAUCCACGAUGGCUUUUAUAAUUGUUAGUUAACAUUCAUUAUCGAUCCAUAAUUGAAUUACAUAUACAAUUACAGUUUUAGCUAAAGUGAUGAAAUCAAACGACACGGUUUAAUCGA